AAAAGGGAAAAAAACAGAGGUUAGAAAGAUUACAAGACAAAAUAACUACUCAAGCUUGAAAUUUUCUACCACUUGUUCAGGUUGCCCAGCAACAUAGUCCAAGAGGCCUUCGCCGGCUUUGUCACCGGAAGAUUCGGUGCCAGGUAAAGAGGUCUUGCCGAAGAAGACGACAGCAACAAGAAAUAGAGCGGUGGAGAGAAACAAAGGCCAGAAAUAGGCCAAUAUCGUGACAAAACUUGGUGCUAAAAAGAUU
rnacentral:misc_RNA from 1 species